GGGGGGGGGGGGGGGGGGGGGGGGCGCGUGCGGGGCGGGCGGAGGGGGCCGGCGGGUGUGGGGUGCGCGGGGGGCGAACGGGGGGGGAAAACGUGAGGAGCGUGGCCGUGACUUUGGGGUAACUGCAGGGAACCGGGGAUCAUACCGGAUAGGAGAUCCUGCGGCAGGGUGGGGGUUGGAAAGUUUCGGCGGUUUGUGAGGGACUCGCGGCUUAUCGGCUUGUUGGUGGGGGAGUGGCUUACCAAGGCGUUGACGGGUAGCCGCCCUUAGAGGGUGAACGGCCACAUUGGGACUGAGAUACGGCCCAGACUCCUACGGGAGGCAGCAGUGGGGAAUAUUGCACAAUGGGCGGAAGCCUGAUGCAGCAACGCCGCGUGCGGGAUGACGGCCUUCGAGUUGUAAACCGCUUUCGCCUGUGCCGAAGCGUGAGUGACGGUAAUGGGUAAAGAAGCACCGGCUAACUACGUG
rnacentral:rRNA from 1 species